GCGUUGGCUAGCUCAGGGGUUACUUCCAAUCAUUGCUGAUUCCACGUUUCCUGCAGUUUGUAGGAUCGAACCCCGGGCGCUGUCCAGCGUUUUC
ensembl:vault_RNA Vault Vault RNA